rnacentral:rRNA from 1 species
GACGAACGCUGGCGGCGUGCCUAAUACAUGCAAGUAGAACGCUGAAGGAGGAGCUUGCUCUUCUGGAUGAGUUGCGAACGGGUGAGUAACGCGUAGGUAACCUGCCUGGUAGCGGGGGAUAACUAUUGGAAACGAUAGCUAAUACCGCAUAAGAGUAGAUGUUGCAUGACAUUUACUUAAAAGGUGCAAUUGCAUCACUACCAGAUGGACCUGCGUUGUAUUAGCUAGUUGGUGGGGUAACGGCUUACCAAGGCGACGAUACAUAGCCGACCUGAGAGGGUGAUCGGCCACACUGGGACUGAGACACGGCCCAGACUCAUACGGGAGGCAGCAGUAGGGAAUCUUAGGCAAUGGACGGAAGUCUGACCGAGCAACGCCGCGUGAGUGAAGAAGGUUUUCGGAUCGUAAAGCUCUGUCGUAAGAGAAGAACGAGUGUGAGAGUGGAAAGUUCACACUGUGACGGUAUCUUACCAGAAAGGGACGGCUAACUACGUG